rnacentral:rRNA from 1 species
GGUUAAGCGACUAAGCGUACACGGUGGAUGCCCUGGCAGUCAGAGGCGAUGAAGGACGUGCUAAUCUGCGAAAAGCGCCGGCGAGGUGAUAUGAACCUUUGACCCGGCGAUGUCCGAAUGGGGAAACCCAGUGCAAUCCGUUGCACUAUCGUUAACUGAAUACAUAGGUUAACGAGGCGAACCGGGGGAACUGAAACAUCUAAGUACCCCGAGGAAAAGAAAUCAACCGAGAUUCCCCCAGUAGCGGCGAGCGAACGGGGAGCAGCCCGGAGUCUGAAUCAGCUUGUGUGUUAGUGGAACGGUCUGGAAAGUCCGACGGUACAGGGUGAUAGUCCCGUACACGAAAGCACACAUGCUGUGAACUCGAAGAGUAGGGCGGGACACGUGGUAUCCUGUCUGAAUAUGGGGGGACCAUCCUCCAAGGCUAAAUACUCCUGACUGACCGAUAGUGAACCAGUACCGUGAGGGAAAGGCGAAAAG